GACUACCGGGGUAUCUAAUCCUGUUUGCUACCCACGCUUUCGCUCCUCAGCGUCAGUUACGGCCCAGAGCGGCGCCUUCGCCGCUGGUGUUCCUCAUGAUAUCUGCGCAUUUCACCGCUACACCAUGAAUUCCCCGCUCCCCUACCGUACUCUAGUCAUAGCAGUAUCGAGUGGCCUCUCAGGGUUGAGCCCUAAGUUUUCACACCCGACUUACCAAACCGCCUACGAGCUCUUUACGCCCAAUAAAUCCGGAUAACGCUUGGUGCCUACGUGUCACCGCGGCUGCUGGCACGUAGUUGGCCGCACCUUCUUCUGUAGGUACCGUCAUUUUCUUCCCUACUGAAAGCGGUUUACAACCCUAGGGCCUUCUUCCCGCACGCGGCGUUGCUGCAUCAGGCUUUCGCCCAUUGUGCAAGAUUCCCCACUGCAGCCCCCCGUAGG
rnacentral:rRNA from 1 species